rnacentral:misc_RNA from 1 species
GUUUGAUCCUGGCUCAGAUUGAACGCUGGCGGGAUGCUUUACACAUGCAAGUCGAACGGCAGCACGGACUUCGGUCUGGUGGCGAGUGGCGAACGGGUGAGUAAUGUAUCGGAACGUGCCUAGUAGCAAGAGGAUAACUACGCGAAAGCGUAGCUAAUACCGCAUACGCCCUUCGGGGGAAAGCGGGGGACAGCUGGGGCCUCGCACUAUUAGAACGGCCGAUAUCGGAUUAGCUAGUUGGUGG